AGAAAUGCUGUUGAGAAGAAAUGAUUGUUUUUCAGAUGCCUCAUACCAUGUGGUAUUCAGGAGUUGUUAUUGUGAAAAGCUGGAUCUCACUCAGUCACAAUGUCACAAACAACACAGGCUGCUUGGUACCAGGAAAUACUUACAUUUACAGCAGAAAAGGGCCUCUUUGCCUUCACUUUGCGUCAGUAGUCUCGUCCCCUUCCCAAAUUAAAUGACAUCCACCGUUCAAAAUGACAGUCCUCGUCCAAGGAAGUCCUCUGAUCUUGCAAAGGGUAUUCCUCCUCAGAAUAGAAGCCAGAGAUGUGCUUCCCUCUAAGCCCAAACAAAGUGAGGACAGCUCCAUGCAGUCAGCAACAAUCCUCUAGCUGGGUUUGGUAUUUUGCUGGUGACUGUGUGUUUGUGUGUCAGUCAGUGCAUGUGUGUGUGCACGCGUAUUUAUGUCUGUGUGUGUGUGUGUGUGUGUGCGUAAGGGAGGAUCCUACUCUCCCUCUAACCAUCUGCUCCCUCAAUUGAGAAAGAAAAAAAUCAGAGACAAAGGUGGUGUGUUUGUGCAAGUAUGUCUGCCUGUGUUGUAUUCUCUCUCCCACCUCCAGCUGGCUUUGUCGUGGCAGGCUUCCCCCCGUCCUCUUUCAAUCCCUAAUGGUGCUCAGAGAGCCUGAAAUUCGCCUUUCCCUUCCUCCCCUUGCUCUUGCUCUUUCUCGGGUUUGUAAACAGAUCUCUGCUCAUGUGACCAGCCGUUUUGCCUCGCAACUCUCCUCUCCCUCAGCCCUCCCUCGCUUCCUCUAUCCUCCAAUCUGUAGGCAGAAGGAAGGCAGAAUGAGCCAGACACUGACGAAUGGGGCGCCUGCAAGCAUGCUGAUGUGUUUGUGUCUGUAUGCGCACACCCCUGUGCAUGUAUAUGUGAGAGGGAGACAAGAGAGACAUUUGCAGCAAAGUCAAGGGAGACCUUGGUCGGUAACAUGCGCAUGGCUGAUGUCCUGACAACCACAACAAAGCCAUCUGUGUGAAGUGGAGGUCAGCAAAAGAAGAGAUGAUGCAACCUCAGUCAACAUUUCCUUCCUUCACAUGCGCACAGAUUGAAUUUUAAGACCCUCGGCAGAUUAUUUUUCAUGUUUGCUUUGUGUGAUCUAUAUAUAAACAUCAUGUCACUCUUGAGGAGGAAGAACAAGGCAGGUAGAGCAGCAAAGAGGGGGGGAGGUGUCUCUGUCGAUAGAGGGAACAGAGGAGGAAGCAAGAUGUGAAGGAAAAUAAAGUCAAGAGGAAAAAGAGGGAGAGACACAGAGAAAAAUCACAGCUUGGACAAAGACAUUGCCUGCACGUCCACCCCCACACCAGCGGCCCUGGCCGCCAAUUCGCUGAGGGAACAGCUGCUGGGCUACUGGGCGAGCUGUUAGACGGUCAAGGGGAGUGCUGCUUCGCCAAUCCCCAGGGGAGGGAGGGAGGCUUCAAUGGGAUCAAUGCCAUUUUCAUUCACCCUCCCUUCCACCCCCCCUUGCUAGUAAUGACUUUACUGCUGAAUACUGAGCAACAGCUGGUUUGACUGCACAGAUGCAUGAGCAUAAAUACAGCCCUGAAUAUACACUGCAUGCAUUGUUGGGUGUUUACAGGUUUUAGAAUUAAUGUGUGUUGUUGCCACAGAGUUGUGUUGUCAUUGUUGGCAUGCUGAAGGGUGGUGGUUUUGGUAACAGCAUGCCCUCUUGUGAAUUAUGAUGAAAUCACCAUUGUAGCAAUAGCUUCCUGCAGAUAUACAGGAUAUGAAAGUGUUCACAGGUUAUUCAUAUCAGAGACAUUUUCAUAUUCAACUGUAACUGCAAAAUUGCUGUAAACAAUAAUUGAAAAGGCCUUUUCAAAUAUAGAAGACAAUUCCUCAGUGUUUUAGUAGAAAGGGUUUUACCAGGAAAUGACAUGAAACUGGGCACUGAGCAGGAAAAUGAGAAAGGGAGAAAGAUGCAAAUGUUGACGUUUUGUUUGUGACAUGUAAAUAGUUUUGGCUGUUACAACCUUUUGUUUUUGCAUAAAUCAUAGUUAUGCCUGUUUGGCAAACACUGUAGAUAGUUUGUGGGGCUAUCUGCUCAUGACAAGAUUUAAGGCCAGAAACGUUUUUGCAAAGCAUAAUAAACUAACAUUACACACAUGUUCUAAUGGAAAUAUUUUUUUUAUGGCCAAUUUAUGAUAUCAACCACCAUAACCUUAUGAUUCCUUUUUUAUUUGUAACAGAAAGACUGUGUUAUAAACGUUACAUAGUCUCGCUUUAAAGCAAAGAGCAGCUGGGGCUUGAAGUGCAUGCAGCUUUUUUCUUUGCUCAUAUGACCCCUGUUAACUUUUUGGGGAAUAUUUGUGGUGGCCCCGCACUUGAGAGGACCACAAACAGUCAUUAGUGUUAACAAUGAGAACUCGCCAGUGUGUUGCAAUAAUGAUUAACUAUCACCCUGAUACAGCAGCUCUACUUCUGCAGAAUUUUGCUUAGUUCUGUCCCUCAGAGAGCAGUGUGUUUUCAGUAAUUCAAGACUUGUUGUAGAGAAAACACAGUUGCACCAACAGUAAAAACAAAACAAUCUUCUGAAUAAACUGAGCUGUAUGUGGACCAGAAAUGUUGACAAAUUCUUUCAUUUUGUGGGGAUCAUGCUCAAGUAUUGGACCAUUAGUCAAAUCAUACAUUGCAUUGAAUUAAAUUUAUUUUCAUUUAUAUGUUCUAUGCAAUGAAGUAAAAAUCUAAUUCAACUGAAUCACAAAAUUAUAUUUCUAACUAACUUUUUUACAAAUUAUCAAAUGUAAAGUUGUUGGCUAUAGAAACAAAAUGACUUCUGGCACUGAAACAAUAAAAAUGUCUGAAAGUUG